AUAGCCGACCUGAGAGGGUGAUCGGCCACACUGGAACUGAGACACGGUCCAGACUCCUACGGGAGGCAGCAGUAGGGAAUCUUCCGCAAUGGGCGAAAGCCUGACGGAGCAACGCCGCGUGAGUGAUGAAGGUCUUCGGAUCGUAAAACUCUGUUAUUAGGGAAGAACAUAUGUGUAAGUAACUGUGCACAUCUUGACGGUACCUAAUCAGAAAGCCACGGCUAACUACGUGCCAGCAGCCGCGGUAAUACGUAGGUGGCAAGCGUUAUCCGGAAUUAUUGGGCGUAAAGCGCGCGUAGGCGGUUUUUUAAGUCUGAUGUGAAAGCCCACGGCUCAACCGUGGAGGGUCAUUGGAAACUGGAAAACUUGAGUGCAGAAGAGGAAAGUGGAAUUCCAUGUGUAGCGGUGAAAUGCGCAGAGAUAUGGAGGAACACCAGUGG
rnacentral:rRNA from 1 species